AUUGAACGCUGGCGGCGUGCUUAACACAUGCAAGUCGAACGAAGUGGCGAACGGGUGAGUAAUGCCUAGGAAUCUGCCUGGUAGUGGGGGAUAACGUCCGGAAACGGGCGCUAAUGCCGCAUACUAUCAGAUGAGCCUAGGUCGGAUUAGCUAGUUGGUGGGGUAAAGGCCUACCAAGGCGACGAUCCGUAACUGGUCUGAGAGGAUGACCAGCCACACUGGGACUGAGACACGGCCCAGACUCCUACGGGAGGCAGCAGUGGGGAAUAUUGCGCAAUGGGGGCAACCCUGACGCAGCCAUGCCGCGUGAAUGAAGAAGGCCUUCGGGUUGUAAAGUUCUUUCGGUAGCGAGGCGUUACCUACAGAAGAAGCACCGGCUAACUCCGUGCCAGCAGCCGCGGUAAUUC
rnacentral:rRNA from 1 species